rnacentral:rRNA from 1 species
CACGUAGGGCGCGAGCGUUGUCCGGAAUUAUUGGGCGUAAAGAGCUCGUAGGCGGCCUGUUGCGUCCGCUGUGAAAGCCCGGGGCUUAACCCCCGGGUCUGCAGUGGAUACGGGCAGGCUAGAGGUAGGUAGGGGAGAAUGGAAUUCCCGGUGUAGCGGUGAAAUGCGCAGAUAGUCGGAGGAACACCGGUGGCGAAGGCGGUUCUCUGGGCCUUACCUGACGCUGAGGAGCGAAAGCGUGGGGAGCGAACAGG